AUGGCUCAUGUCGCCACCGCCCUCCAGCUGGUGCUGAGGGCCAACACCGCGGUCCUGGAUGACCGUCAGCACGCCAGACCCCUGCCCCCUGAGGGGCUUCAGCGGCAGGAAAAGCCCUUUAGGGACCGAGCAUCACCCCCGCACCCCCUGCGGCUGUCUCGCUCGCCUCACCCCGGGGACCCGGGAAGGCGUCUGCACUCCGGGAGGCACGGCACGCAGCCGGCCGCCUCCCAGCCCCCGGCCCCCACCAGCCACAUCGCCCAGCUCACACUGGUGGGGUCUCCGGGCAUCACGGCCCCCCGAGAGCCCCUCACCUGCCACCCGCUGCCAGGGACACGGCCACUGUUGCCUGGUCACGGAUGUGUAUCCGGGGCAGCGGCGGCCACGGCUCCGGGGCGGGACUCUGGCACCCGGGUAACCCAAAGACAUCGCCCCCAGCCCGUCCGGCACCUCUGGGCGUCACCCGUGGGGACCCCACGCCGCGGUCACGCGUGGAGCCCCCCCGGGGAGGCCCCUGCAGCAACGGGGGGCACACGGUGCUGCUGGCACGGUCAGAGUACGGCAGGGACCCGAUCCUGAGCAAAACAGUGGCUGCACACAUCGUACAAAGGGAUGUAAACAUGCGUCUCAUUUUCCCCCUUCCUCAGACCCGAGCAUUUUGGUAUUCGCCAGUAGCUUUCCAGGCUGAAAUGCGGCUUUUGCUCUUUCAAAAUGCUGAUGUGCUCAGCAGCGGGUACAUCACAAGCCCAGCCAGCGCGUGCCCUGUGGGAGCACGCGUAAUGCUGUUGCCAGCUCUCGUGAUAUUCCUGCGAGUCCCCAGAUAGCUGGCAUUUUUGGGGAGCUGCACCGCCUCUCGGUUAAAAUAUAUCUCCUGGUUGUGAAGAAGAGGUUACAAAUGUGAUCUGAGAUUACCCCAAAGGCUUCACUACAAGACAGCAAACGGGAAGGCAUUUGGAUUAAAAAAAGAAUCAAGAUCUUGAGGCCUACUUCGUGACUUUCAGUGAUGUGCAGCUAGACUUGAGCAGCAAUGUAGGAGUGGCCUGAUGCUGUCUCUCCAGCUCCGGAGAAGAGUGUGAGGCAGCCUGGGAUUCAAACUGGUGUUUAAUCAGGGGGGAUGCCAGAGCCCUGGCAAAGCCCUUCCCGAAAGCUGGCCCCACACUAACCAUUUUAUUUCUGGGAGCACAUCUUCAGGGCCUCUAAGAUCUUGCUUUUGAAAAAAAAAAUAUGGCAGAGACGACAUGGCCCAAGCAUUGCAGUCAGUUGUGGAGCUGGAUGCAAGCACGUGUUGAAUCAUUUGCUGAAAACAAGCAGUGGUACCUUCAAAAUGGCUGGGUUAACAUCUCCACAUUUAUUUCCAAGCACAUAGACAUUAGCAUGCGCUUCCAGCAGGGUUUGCAGUGGUAGGCACUUCAGAUGCCAGCUCAAAUGCAGCUGGCUAAGUGUGGAGGGUAAAACACCCAUCCCAUUCCCAUUCCCAUUCCCAUUCCCAUUCCCAUUCCCAUUCCCAUUCCCAUUCCCAUUCCCAUUCCCAUUCCCCUCUUCGCGUCUGGGAUCACUGCCAUUCCCGAGUGCCUACAACUCGGCAAGAUGAGGACCCCGAGGAGCAGGGAGAAGCUCCAAAGCCCCUUCUCCAGGCCCCCCUCCUGUUGCCUUCUGCUAGAGAGCACUGCUAAAAAGCGGUCAGCACCUCCUGCAGCCCUGGGGGAGGCAGCAAAAGGAUCAGGAGGAGGAAAUAGCCCCUGCAAAGCCAGCGCUGAAGGGACGGGGAGCACAGCGUGCCUGCGUGCUGCCUCUCCUCCCAAAGCCUUCCACUCUCCCCAGGUCCCAGCAGGAGCCGUGCAGCUGCUGACAGCUAUUAAUAGAGGUGUUGAUCGUGGGUUCUGUCUCCUACCGCUCCCUGGGAUGAGCACUAAUUACCCUUCAUUAGCCCGGAUUUGGCUCCAGCUCCCACCUUCCAGCCCCCUGCCCGGUGCUCGCAGGGAGAGGCAGCAGUGCAGGAGCCAGCACGAUGGGGAGCGGUGCCCGGCUCUCGGGGCAUCCCGCAGCCUCGUCCCUGGGUGCUGAGGGCAGCGAGGAGUUUAUCUCAGCCUGGCCUUUCAAAUGUGCCCCAGGAGCCAAGCAGGCGGUGAGGUGAACGUCCCCACCAAAGCCUGAGGAUGCUGGCGGGUGGGACGCUCUCUGUUUAAAAUUAAUGAAAGAAAGAAGGUGGGGAAUAAAUUAUAAACAGCAAAUCUGGUCUGCUCUUGU
rnacentral:lncRNA from 1 species